AACGAACGCUGGCGGCAUGCCUAACACAUGCAAGUCGAACGAGACCUUCGGGUCUAGUGGCGCACGGGUGCGUAACGCGUGGGAACCUGCCCUUAGGUUCGGAAUAACUCCCCGAAAGGGGUGCUAAUACCGGAUAAUGUCUUCGGACCAAAGAUUUAUCGCUUUUGGAUGGGCCCGCGUUGGAUUAGCUAGUUGGUAGGGUAAAAGCCUACCAAGGCGACGAUCCAUAGCUGGUCUGAGAGGAUGAUCAGCAACACUGGGACUGAGACACGGCCCAGACUCCUACGGGAGGCAGCAGUGGGGAAUAUUGGACAAUGGGCGAAAGCCUGAUCCAGCAAUGCCGCGUGAGUGAUGAAGGCCUUAGGGUUGUAAAGCUCUUUUACCCGGGAUGAUAAUGACAGUACCGGGAGAAUAAGCUCCGGCUAACUCCGUG
rnacentral:rRNA from 1 species